rnacentral:rRNA from 1 species
AGUGAACGCUGGCGGUAGGCCUAACACAUGCAAGUCGAACGGCAGCACAGUAAGAGCUUGCUCUUACGGGUGGCGAGUGGCGGACGGGUUAGGAAUACAUCGGAAUCUACUUUUUCGUGGGGGAUAACGUAGGGAAACUUACGCUAAUACCGCAUACGACCUACGGGUGAAAGCAGGGGAUCUUCGGUCCUUGCGCGAUUGAAUGAGCCGAUGUCGGAUUAGCUAGUUGGCGGGGUAAAGGCCCACCAAGGCGACGAUCCGUAGCUGGUCUGAGAGGAUGAUCAGACAAACUGGAACUGAGACACGGUCCAGACUCCUACGGGAGGCAGCAGUGGGGAAUAUUGGACAAUGGGCGCAAGCCUGAUCCAGCCAUACCGCGUGGGUGAAGAAGGCAUUCGGGUUGUAAAGCCCUUUUGUUGGGAAAGAAAAGCAGCAGGUUAAUACCCCGCUGUUCUGACGGUACCCAAAGAAUAAGCACCGGCUAACUUCGUG